GACGAGGGGUGCGAGCGUUAUUCGGAAUGAUUGGGCGUAAAGGGUGCGUAGGCGGUAUAUUAAGUCACUUGUUAAAUUUCUCGGCUUAACCGAGAGUCUGCAAGAGAAACUGGUGUACUAGAGGAUGGAAGAGAGAAGUGGAAUUCUUGAAGUAGCGGUCAAAUGCGUAGAUCUCAAGAGGAACACCGAUGGCGAAGGCAGCUUCUUGGUCCAUUUCUGACGCUGAGGCACGAAAGCGUGGGGAGCAAAC
rnacentral:rRNA from 1 species